rnacentral:tRNA from 1 species
GUUGUUGUGGCCGAGUGGUUAAGGCGAUGAACUGCAAACCUUUUAGGAUCUUCCCGCGCAGGUUCGAAUCCUGCUGACAUCG